CAGUAGCCGCGGUAAUACGUAGGUGGCAAGCGUUGUCCGGAAUUAUUGGGCGUAAAGCGCGCGCAGGCGGAUAGGUCAGUCUGUCUUAAAAGUUCGGGGCUUAACCCCGUGAUGGGAUGGAAGCUGCCAAUCUAGAGUAUCGGAGAGGAAAGUGGAAUUCCUAGUGUAGCGGUGAAAUGCGUAGAUAUUAGGAAGAACACCAGUGGCGAAGGCGACUUUCUGGACGAAAACUGACGCUGAGGCGCGAAAGCCAGGGGAGCGAACGGGAUUAGAUACCCCUGUAGUCCCUGUCUCUUAUACA
rnacentral:rRNA from 1 species